rnacentral:rRNA from 1 species
GAUGAACGCUGGCGGCGUGCCUAAUACAUGCAAGUCGAGCGAACGGACGAGAAGCUUGCUUCUCUGAUGUUAGCGGCGGACGGGUGAGUAACACGUGGAUAACCUACCUAUAAGACUGGGAUAACUUCGGGAAACCGGAGCUAAUACCGGAUAAUAUUUUGAACCGCAUGGUUCAAAAGUGAAAGACGGUCUUGCUGUCACUUAUAGAUGGAUCCGCGCUGCAUUAGCUAGUUGGUAAGGUAACGGCUUACCAAGGCAACGAUGCAUAGCCGACCUGAGAGGGUGAUCGGCCACACUGGAACUGAGACACGGUCCAGACUCCUACGGGAGGCAGCAGUAGGGAAUCUUCCGCAAUGGGCGAAAGCCUGACGGAGCAACGCCGCGUGAGUGAUGAAGGUCUUCGGAUCGUAAAACUCUGUUAUUAGGGAAGAACAUAUGUGUAAGUAACUGUGCACAUCUUGACGGUGCCUAAUCAGAAAGCCACGGCUAACUACGUG